rnacentral:rRNA from 1 species
UACGAGGGGGGCGAGCGUUGUUCGGAAUUAUUGGGCGUAAAGGGUGCGUAGGCGGUUCCGCAAGUCCUGUGUGAAAUCUUCGGGCUCAACUCGAAGUCUGCACGGGAAACUGCGGGGCUUGAGUGUGGGAGAGGUGAGUGGAAUUCCCGGUGUAGCGGUGGAAUGCGCAGAUAUCAGGGGGAACACCAAUGGCGAAGGCAGAUCUCUGGGCCGUAACUGACGCUGAGGAGCGAAAGCAUGGGGAAGCGAACGAGG